rnacentral:tRNA from 1 species
UCCCAUAUGGUCUAGCGGUUAGGAUUUCUGGUUUUCACCCAGAGUGUCAGGGUUCUACUACCCGGUACGGGAA